rnacentral:tRNA from 1 species
GGCGCUGUGGCUUAGGUGGUCAAAGUGCCUGUCUAGUAAACAGGGAGAUCCUGGGUUCAAAUCCCAGCAGUGCCU